UACGAGGGGGGCGAGCGUUGUUCGGAAUUAUUGGGCGUAAAGGGUGCGUAGGCGGUUUGGUAAGUCUUGUGUGAAAUCUCCAGGCUCAACUUGGAGUCUGCACGAGAAACUGCCGGGCUUGAGUGUGGGAGAGGUGAGUGGGAUUCCCGGUGUAGCGGUGAAAUGCGUAGAUAUCGGGAGGAACACCUGUGGCGAAAGCGGCUCACUGGACCAUAACUGACGCUGAUGCACGAAAGCUAGGGGAGCAAACAGG
rnacentral:rRNA from 1 species